rnacentral:rRNA from 1 species
GAUGAACGCUGGCGGCGUGCCUAAUACAUGCAAGUCGAGCGAACGGACGAGAAGCUUGCUUCUCUGACGUUAGCGGCGGACGGGUGAGUAACACGUGGAUAACCUACCUAUAAGACUGGGAUAACUUCGGGAAACCGGAGCUAAUACCGGAUAAUAUUUUGAACCACAUGGUUCAAAAGUGAAAGACGGUCUUGCUGUCACUUAUAGAUGGAUCCGCGCUGCAUUAGCUAGUUGGUAAGGUAACGGCUUACCAAGGCAACGAUGCAUAGCCGACCUGAGAGGGUGAUCGGCCACACUGGAACUGAGACACGGUCCAGACUCCUACGGGAGGCAGCAGUAGGGAAUCUUCCGCAAUGGGCGAAAGCCUGACGGAGCAACGCCGCGUGAGUGAUGAAGGUCUUCGGAUCGUAAAACUCUGUUAUUAGGGAAGAACAUAUGUGUAAGUAACUGUGCACAUCUUGACGGUACCUAAUCAGAAAGCCACGGCUAACUACGUG